AGAGUUUGAUCCUGGCUCAGGAUGAACGCUGGCGGCGUGCCUAAUACAUGCAAGUCGAGCGAACGGACGAGAAGCUUGCUUCUCUGAUGUUAGCGGCGGACGGGUGAGUAACACGUGGAUAACCUACCUAUAAGACUGGGAUAACUUCGGGAAACCGGAGCUAAUACCGGAUAAUAUUUUGAACCGCAUGGUUCAAAAGUGAAAGACGGUCUUGCUGUCACUUAUAGAUGGAUCCGCGCUGCAUUAGCUAGUUGGUAAGGUAACGGCUUACCAAGGCAACGAUGCAUAGCCGACCUGAGAGGGUGAUCGGCCACACUGGAACUGAGACACGGUCCAGACUCCUACGGGAGGCAGCAGUAGGGGAUCUUCCGCAAUGGGCGAAAGCCUGACGGAGCAACGCCGCGUGAGUGAUGAAGGUCUUCGGAUCGUAAAACUCUGUUAUUAGGGAAGAACAUAUGUGUAAGUAACUGUGCACAUCUUGACGGUACCUAAUCAGAAAGCCACGGCUAACUACGUGCCAGCAGUCGCGGUAAUACGUAGGUGGCAAGCGUUAUCCGGAAUUAUUGGGCGUAAAGCGCGCGUAGGCGGUUUUUUAAGUCUGAUGUGAAAGCCCACGGCUCAACCGUGGAGGGUCAUUGGAAACUGGAAAACUUGAGUGCAGAAGAGGAAAGUGGAAUUCCAUGUGUAGCGGUGAAAUGCGCAGAGAUAUGGAGGAACACCAGUGGCGAAGGCGACUUUCUGGUCUGUAACUGACGCUGAUGUGCGAAAGCGUGGGGAUCAAACAGGAUUAGAUACCCUGGUAGUCCACGCCGUAAACGAUGAGUGCUAAGUGUUAGGGGGUUUCCGCCCCUUAGUGCUGCAGCUAACGCAUUAAGCACUCCGCCUGGGGAGUACGACCGCAAGGUUGAAACUCAAAGGAAUUGACGGGGACCCGCACAAGCGGUGGAGCAUGUGGUUUAAUUCGAAGCAACGCGAAGAACCUUACCAAAUCUUGACAUCCUUUGACAACUCUAGAGAUAGAGC
rnacentral:rRNA from 2 species